rnacentral:rRNA from 1 species
CCUACGGGAGACAGCAGUGGGGAAUAUUGCACAAUGGGGGAAACCCUGAUGCAGCGACGCCGCGUGAGUGAAGACGUAUUUCGGUAUGUAAAGCUCUAUCAGCAGGGAAGAAAAUGACGGUACCUGAUUAAGAAGCCCCGGCUAACUACGUGCCAGCAGCCGCGGUAAUACGUAGGGGGCAAGCGUUAUCCGGAUUUACUGGGUGUAAAGGGAGCGUAGACGGCAGCACAAGUCUGGAGGGAAAUGCCGGGGCUUAACCCCGGAACUGCUUUGGAAACUGUGCAGCUAGAGUGAAGGAGAGGUAAGUGGAAUUCCUGGUGUAGCGGUGAAAUGCGUAGAUAUUAGGAGGAACACCAGUGGCGAAGGCGGCUUACUGGACUGUAACUGACGUUGAGGCUCGAAAGCGUGGGGAGCAAACAGGAUUAGAUACCCGGGUAGUC